UGCUGGAGGCAAUUGCUGCACGCUCAGCCCUAGAGCGUGAAUUCUUCUGUGUCUCCCCAAACAGCUGUGGUGCAAGCUUCCUCACGCUGCUUUGCCAAGGCCUGGUCUACACUUGGAUUUUACAUCGAUAUAUCUACAUCUCUCAGGGAUGUGAACUCCAUGCUCCCGAGAGACGUAGCUCCACCACUCUCACCCCUGCUGUGGACAGCGGUACAUCAGUGGAAGACUCCUCCCAUCGACCUCGCUACUGCCUCUCAUCGCGGUGAGGGAACCUCUCCCGUUGGCGGAGGGCGUGUCGACACAAGUGGUGCAGCUGCGCUGCUGUAGCAUGUUAAGUGGCGACGUCCCUCAGGCAGAUGAUGGCACAGAUCCCCCAGUGGCUGGUAAUACUGAAGUGUUUGCUCUGCAAUUGGAAAACCCCACAGGCAGGAACGAUGCAUUCCCAAGUGUGAAACAUUUGUGAUCUCUUGCCCAACAAAAGAAGGUCCAUAGACUGUACCAGACAAAUCAUCGUGGAACAUCAGAAGACAGACUUUGUUGAUAGCUCCCACCCCCACCCCCCACGCCCUUAUGAAGAGGAGAUGUCCCAUCAUCUUGAACUCUGGGGGAAGGGAAUAAAAAU